rnacentral:rRNA from 1 species
GGGGGGGGCAAGCGUUGUUCGGAAUUACUGGGCGUAAAGGGCGCGUAGGCGGUUUGCUAAGUUGGAUGUGAAAACUCUGGGCUUAACCCAGAGCCUGCAUCCAAAACUGGCAAACUUGAGUACUGGAGGGGAAAGCGGAAUUCCUGGUGUAGCGGUGAAAUGCGUAGAUAUCAGGAGGAACACCGGUGGCGAAGGCGGCUUUCUGGACAGUAACUGACGCUGAGGCGCGAAAGCUAGGGGAGCAAACAGGAUUAGAUACCCUGGUAGUCCUAGCCCUAAACGAUGGAUACUUGGUGUGAGGGGGAUUGAAUCCCUUCGUGCCGUAGCUAACGCAAUAAGUAUCCCGCCUGGGGAGUACGGUCGCAAGGCUG